GGGUUCAGAGUGAGCUUCAGCCCUGAGGGGCUUCAGAGUGAGCUUCAGCCCUAUCUUCGGUUCAGACUUGUGAGUCACUGAAGUCUCUGCCCAUUUUUUUGUUUUAUGAAGCCUAAGUUUUUCCAAAGCUAAUUGAGUUUUUUUUCCUCCUCCGCAUUAGGGCCUGCUAUCAUUAUUUAAAAUGGGCUUCCUGGUAUCAUUAGUUACGAGGUCUGGAAAAAGUGUGUUACCGUGCCGAGGGUGUUAUUAGAGGCGGACCAGAUGUCGGCUCAAUGAUCUUAAUUUGGGCAGCUCUGUCAACGCCGCAGCUGGUGCGCAAUUGUUUUGCGUGCUGAGGGGAGUGGCCAGGUUGCAGCCCGGUCGCUGCGAACCUUUAGAAAACGCCGGAAACUCCCGUCAAUGAUGUAAUGGUGCCGUGGUUCAGAGACUGGGCAUGGCCGUCUUGGCGGCGGCUGUUGUCGGCGACCUUAUCUGCACGCCUGCGGUGCUUAUCCUGGCUUUGUGCGGCAAAGGCUGCUUUUUCCUGGCGUUGGAGACCCCGAGAUGGAGGAGCGGGCGCUCGAUCGCCCCCCCCCCCCCCCCCCCCCCCUCGUUCCAAUUUGAAUUCGGUUCGCGUAGCGCCCUCCGGUGGAGACGAGAGUCGCGCCGACGCUUUGUAGACAAAA